AAAAUAUUCGGCUGCUGAAAUGUGCAGCAAAUACUCGCAGUUGAUUUACAAAUAUAAAAAUGAUUCCACAUUAAUUGAUGAUUAGGAGGUAUUAAAUGAAGCUAAAGGCUGUUACAAUAACAAUUCAAGCAUACUCAAAAGAUUAACCUCAAAUGUUGACGUCAAAAGGGCCGCACCGAGAGAAUUUCCUCACAUGGCGUUGUUGGGUUAUAGCAAGUAUCCCAGAGAUGAUACAUGGGCCUGUAGUGGGUCACUGAUCAGUAAUAGAUGGAU